AUUCAAUUUAACUAGCGCGCCGCGCUCUUGUAAAAAUCAGGUGCAACUUGCUAGCCAAAAAGGAGGAUAAUCUGCCACAUUUCACCGUCGGCUAAAACAAAACACGAAAUAGGAAUCGAAUUUGCAUUUGCUAAAUAAUUAGUAUUAAAAAGACAACUGGGUAAUCUCUAGAAAAGUAAACCUCAAUAAAAACUAGGUACAUGUAAAUUCGGACCUCUAGAUAUCUGGAAAGCGAAGGUUAAGUUAAUUUGGACCGUGGCAUGUUAAUUUGGAUGAUAGGUACUUCUUUUGCUAGGUACAUAUUUACUCAAGAAACAGGGUGAAAACCUCCUAGGAAGUACUGCUGAACAAUCCUAGGAACUUUAAAGUACCGCUCGUUUUUUCUUUGUUUAUUUUCUAAUCUCCAAUUUUUUUUGUUUCCCAACAUUUUGCAUCUGCUUUUUCACCUAGUAUUUUCUAUCUAUUCUUUCCACCCAGUGUUUGAACCAUUUUUCUCCCUGGUCUUCCUCCUUUUGGUUUGGUUCUGUUGUUUCUCACACAUGUUUCACUGUUUUGGCUGGGUGUUCUUAACUGACUCUCAGCUUAAGUUAACCUCACCCCAGCUAUCAGCUACUAAACCAAUGGCCUUACUUAUAGCUUUUUUCCCGUUCUUAAGCUAAGGGUACCACAGAAUUGGUUAAAAGAAGCUAGCUCCACAAAGCAAAGAAUACAGUCAAGGAUGCCCGCGUUGUUGCUCUGGUACAAGAACUAUAACUCCAGUUUCAGCUGUUCACUGGUUUCAGAUCACGGGUGUUAAACUUGUAUACUGAAUCAACAUUGUAAACUGUAACCGCACUCCAAAGAAUUUCUCCACUAUUUAUAAAUCUUAGUAGCCUACAACUAACGUGAACAGCUACGGAAUUACCCUGCAGGAAUGGCACAUCAUAUGAUCUGUGAUCAAUAACGGCAAUUAAUACCGAACCGGAUGCAAUGGCCGGAUGAAGAAGAAUGAACUGCAACAAAAAAUUUCACUGACAAGCUGACUGUAAUGUGAUCAUUGCAUUCAAUUUAACGAUCAGCGCAUAAAGUUCCUCUAACAAUGAGGUUCUAGUUGCUACUGAAAAAAUUGAGAGGAUGAUGGCCACAUUUAAUAGUGGGCUAGAACAAUACUUGGAAACAGGAAACUGAUGUAUAUUGGCUCAAUAUUUAGUAUUAUAAGAAAAUCACUGGAUGAUCUCUAAGAAAGAAGAAGACACUGAUAAAAAAUCCAAGUCAAUUCAUUAGAUAGAAAAACAGAGGCAUGGUGCAAGUCAAUUAGCAACAAUUUCGAACGUCGGCCAAAAUGAGUGAAUAGUUGUGGCAUCAUCAUGCUAGCUACUUCAUCCCAAAAGGAUAUUCACACAAGUAUAAAUUUCAAGCAACCAUGAAACAUUCAGAGAUCAUUGAUCAUAACUCGUAUAUACAUCAAAAUGAAACUAGUCGGCUAAUGGUGGACCCAGUUUUUAAUCUUCUGCUCAUUAGUACCAAGUUCCAUUUCUCGAGCAUAUGUUAAGAUCGAAGAUCACAUGAAGCAAUGAUUCCUUAAAAGUGGUUAGCAGUUAAAGUGAAGUCAUAUCUGUAAUUCUAAACGAUACAACACAAAGGCAGAAUUAUAUAACACUAUGUUUCAAUACCUGACCAGAUGUUAAUGGAAUCAUGAACAUGAAUGAACUGCAACAGAAUAUUGAGUUGAAAGUUAACUAUCAUGCAAUCAUUCAAUUUAAGUAGUGUUGCAAACUCUUCUGAAAUCAGGUGCAACUAGCUAGUCAACAAGGAGGAUAAUCUGCCUUAUUUCACCAUUUGCUAAAACAAAACAAAGAAACAUGAAUCAACUGUACAUUUUCUAAAUAUUUAGUAUUAAAAGGAUAACUGGGUAAACUCUAAAAAUGAAGACCUCAACAAAAAGGGCAGGUCAAUUAUUCGGUUCAAUGAACAGACACCAAGAGGCAUCUAGAUUGCUAACUACACAGGGGGGGAUCAAAGUGAACAAAUUGAGAGGAUGAUCUGCCACAUUUUAUCGUCAGCUAAAACAAUACUUGGAAACAGGAAACAUAUGUAUAUUGGCUAAAUAUUUAGUAUUAUGAAAACCACAAGAUGAUCUUCAAGAAAUAAGACCUUGAUACAGAAAAACCAAGGCCAUUCUUCAGCUCAGAGAAAAACAGAGAUAUGAGGCAGAUCAAUCUGCAACUAUUUCAAAUGCUGACCAAAACGACUAAAUAAUUAAGUACCAAGCAGAGCACUAUAUAAACAUGAAAAAAGAAAAUGAGUUCAACAAAACAUAGACAUGAGCCAGAGCAAUCGGCAAACAUCUCAAACGCUGACCCAAAUGACUUGUAAUUUUAGCAUCAACACAUACAUGAGCCAGAGUAAUCAGCAAACAUCUCAAACGCUGACCCAAAUCCAAAUGACUUGUAAUUUUAGCAUCAACACGCAGGGCAACUACUUCGGCCAAAAAUGAUAUUCAAAGAAAUAUAAAGCGGCCAUGUAACAGUCAGAGCUUCUUGAUCAUAAGUUUUUUUAAUACAUAAGCAAAGAAAGCUAGUGCGCUCGGUAGAUUCAGUUAAUACAUACUGCAGGACAUGUAGAUACGGAGGGCAAGGCUGUCAAGAAGCACCACCACCCUCUGAUGAAAAGCUAAAUAAUAUUCAGAACAUAACAAUCUGGUCAGAUGAAAGGUGAACAUAAUCCUCUAGUGCCGGAAAGCAGGUAUGUGAAACUAGAGAUUGUUUGAGCCGAAGUCCACUAUGGCAGAGGAAUCUGCGAUGGAGACUAGCAACCAACUUGCCAUCGAUGUCAAGCUCAAGUAGCGAGUCCUUGUCAAUCUUAACCAGCACGAGCACAUCAUCAUCCCAAUAUGCAACCUCCACAUACCAAAAACCGUGAAAGUUUUCAAAUUGCACACUUAGCUCUGCAAUCGGCAACUCAACCCGGGCUUUAGAGGCCCAGACUUGGCCUUCAUAGUCCUGCAUCACCCAGACAUGAACAAUGGUCUCUUCUUCAUUAAGACUGUAAAUGCCAAGCAAGUCACCCAUCUCAAACAGGUCAGCCUUGGCAUGGCCAGGAUCAAUCGGAGAGCGCAUCUGCCGGAACAACUCAGCGGUGGUGUCAAAUACCAUUAUCAGUCGCUCUGUGUACCAAUGCAGGCUACCACGGAGAAGGACAGGUUGUUGUUGCCACAGUCCCUUGGCAUGCGCCCCGAUGUGCCUCGGCUCCUGGUCAGAGCCUAAUGUGAAGACGUAGAAGCCACUUUGAGCAUCAGUUUCCGGGCAGACGCAGAAUCGGUACUCGCUGGUAGGGCUGUGUGGGUACAUCCCCAAAACCGUGAAGUCAUCAAGCUGGUUGAGACGAGCAUACUGACGAGUGGCCGGGUUGCAGAUGGAGAGGCAAUCACCCCCGCAGGUGGUGAAGACAAGGAGGUCGUCACAGCAGGCCACGGGAAAGAAGUCAUGGGCACCACUGAGUUGGGCAACGGACUGGAGCUUGUCGUCUGCCCGGUGGUCGCAGGGGAAGGGGGUGAUGAUGUCUAUGGACGGCGGGUCGUCAAUUUCAGUGUAAAGGAGAGGGAGUGAGGGCUGGCGGGCGUGGUGGGCGACAAGGAAGUCGCGGUCGGAGGUGGCGCCGCGCCAGGCGUGGCAGACGGCACGGCAGCGAAGGAGGGAUUUGGGGGGCAGGCGAACGAGGAUCUCAAACAUGAAGAUCUCAUCCAGGAGGCCAUGGAGGAGACUUGCUGACUCCGCCAUGGAUCCGUGCAGCAGUGGGAGUGACGGCGGUGGAGAGGAGAUCUCAUCAAAAU
rnacentral:lncRNA from 1 species